rnacentral:rRNA from 1 species
GACGAACGCUGGCGGCGUGCCUAAUACAUGCAAGUAGAACGCUGAAGAGAGGAGCUUGCUCUUCUUGGAUGAGUUGCGAACGGGUGAGUAACGCGUAGGUAACCUGCCUGGUAGCGGGGGAUAACUAUUGGAAACGAUAGCUAAUACCGCAUAAAAUUGAUUAUUGCAUGAUAAUUAAUUGAAAGAUGCAAUUGCAUCACUACCAGAUGGACCUGCGUUGUAUUAGCUAGUUGGUGAGGUAACGGCUCACCAAGGCGACGAUACAUAGCCGACCUGAGAGGGUGAUCGGCCACACUGGGACUGAGACACGGCCCAGACUCCUACGGGAGGUAGCAGUAGGGAAUCUUCGGCAAUGGGGGGAACCCUGACCGAGCAACGCCGCGUGAGUGAAGAAGGUUUUCGGAUCGUAAAGCUCUGUUGUAAGAGAAGAACGGGUGUGAGAGUGGAAAGUUCACAC